rnacentral:tRNA from 1 species
AAAUAAGAAGCAAUAUUGCAUUUAAUUUCGACUUAAAAGAAUGAGUUUACAAAAACUCCUUAUUUA